rnacentral:rRNA from 1 species
UACGAAGGGGGCUAGCGUUGCUCGGAAUCACUGGGCGUAAAGCGCACGUAGGCGGACUCUUAAGUCAGGGGUGAAAUCCUGGAGCUCAACUCCGGAACUGCCAUUGAAACUGUUUAGCUUGAGGACGAGAGAGGUGAGUGGAAUUCCCAGUGUAGAGGUGAAAUUCGUAGAUAUUGGGAAGAACACCAGUGGCGAAGGCGGCUCACUGGUCCGGUACUGACGCUGAGGUGCGAAAGCGUGGGGAGCAAACAGG